rnacentral:rRNA from 1 species
GCUUAAAUCUUAGCCCAUUCCUUCCCCCAAAAUAACCUAAACCCUAAACAAACCAUUUGACAAGACUAGUAGAGGCGAUCAAACCUCACCAAUGACGCUAUAAAACCAGUACCGCAAGGGAAACGUGAAAAAAUAAUGAAACAUUAAAGCAACACACAGCAAAGAUUUAACCCUGUACCUCCUGCAUCAUGAUUUAGCCAGAACCCGCAGACAAGACGCCCCAAAGCCUGCAACCCCGAAUUCAAGUGAGCUAUCCUGGCUCAGCCAACAGAGCUCAUCCUUCCAUGUAGCAAAAUGGUGGAAAGAUGUCAAGAUAGAGGUGAAAAGCCUACCGAACUUGUUAAUAGCUGGUUACCUAACAAACGAAUUUAAGUUCCACUUUAAGCUCAAGCCACCACAAUCUAGUGCCAAAUAUAGCUUAAAAGAUAUUCAACGAGGGUACAGCCCCAUUGAACCAGGAUACAACCUGAAAUAGAGAGACUACUAUUUUUCCCUAACCCGUAGGCCUUUAAGCAGCCACCAUACAUUAAUGCGUCACAGCCCACCAAUUAAAAUACCAAUACACCCAACAAACUCCUACCUUCCCACUAGGUCACCCUACUCAAAAAUAGAGGUGUUUCUGCCAAAACUAGUAACAAGGAUUAUCCUCUUAACACACCUGUAAAUCAGCAAUAGAAAAACUACUGAAAAUUAACAGAACCUCAGUACAAACCCCUUUCCCCUGUACUUAAUAAUCUGUUCCCCCAACACAGGCGUGUUCACAAGAAAGAUUAAAAGUCAAAGAAGGAAUUCAGCAAACAAUCAAUCCCAACUGUUUACCAAAAACAUAGCCUUUAGCCCCAACCGUAUUAAAGGUAACGCCUGCCCAGUGAUAUAUUAAACGGCCGCGGUAUCCUAACCGUGCAAAGGUAGCGUAAUCACUUGUCCCCUAAAUAGAGACCAGUAUGAACGGCUAAAUGAGGAUUAAACUGUCUCCUACGACUAAUCAGUGAAACUGAUCUUCCAGUCCAAAAGCUGGAAUAAACACAUAAGACGAGAAGACCCUGUGGAGCUUAAAAUUAAAGCCACCCACACCAACCGACCUAAUCAAACAUGGCCUACAAUUUUAAGUUGGGGCGACUUCGGAACCAAACAAAACUUCCGAGCACAAGAGCAUCCCUCAUACCAAGGCCAACAUGCCUAAGCACAACCUGACCCAGUCCUACUGAUCAACGAACCAAGUUACCCCAGGGAUAACAGCGCCAUCUUCUUUAAGAGUCCCUAUCGCCAAGAAGGUUUACGACCUCGAUGUUGGAUCAGGACACCCAAAUGGUGCAGCAGCUAUUAAAGGUUCGUUUGUUCAACGAUUAAUAGUCCUACGUGAUCUGAGUUCAGACCGGAGCAAUCCAGGUCGGUUUCUAUCUAUGCAGCAGUUUUCUUUAGUACGAAAGGACCAAGAAAACAGGACCAAUACUACAAGUACGUCCUCACGCACUAGGCAGAAUUCAACUCAAGCCUACACCAGCACUUUCACACCCAGAUAUAAUGGGUUA